rnacentral:rRNA from 1 species
UACGGAGGGUGCAAGCGUUAUCCGGAUUUACUGGGUUUAAAGGGUGCGUAGGUGGGUCUGUAAGUCAGUGGUGAAAGCCCCGGGCUUAACCUGGGAAUGGCAUUGGAAACUGGCGAGCUUGAGUGCGGCAGAGGGGGGUGGAAUUCCGCGUGUAGCAGUGAAAUGCGUAGAGAUGCGGAGGAACACCGAUGGCGAAGGCAGCCCCCUGGGUCGACACUGACGCUCAGGCACGAAAGCGUGGGGAGCAAACAGG